GAUGAAGAACUAGCGAAAUGCGAUAAGUAGUGUGAAUUGCAGAAUUCAGUGAAUCAUCGAAUCUUUGAACGCACAUUGCGCCCCUUGGUAUUCCAUGGGGCAUGCCUGUUCGAGCGUCAUUUGUACCUUCAAGCUCUGCUUGGUGUUGGGUGUUUGUCUCGCCUCUGCGUGUAGACUCGCCUCAAAACAAUUGGCAGCCGGCGUAUUGAUUUCGGAGCGCAGUACAUCUCGCGCUUUGCACUCAUAACGACGACGUCCAAAAGUACAUUUUUACACUCUUGACCUCGGAUCAGGUAGGGAUACCCGCUGAACUUAAGCAUAUCAAUAAGCGGAGGA
rnacentral:misc_RNA from 1 species